CAGUAGGGAAUCUUCCACAAUGGACGAAAGUCUGAUGGAGCAACGCCGCGUGAGUGAAGAAGGGUUUCGGCUCGUAAAACUCUGUUGUUAAAGAAGAACAUAUCUGAGAGUAACUGUUCAGGUAUUGACGGUAUUUAACCAGAAAGCCACGGCUAACUACGUGCCAGCAGCCGCGGUAAUACGUAGGUGGCAAGCGUUGUCCGGAUUUAUUGGGCGUAAAGCGAGCGCAGGCGGUUUUUUAAGUCUGAUGUGAAAGCCUUCGGCUCAACCGAAGAAGUGCAUCGGAAAC
rnacentral:rRNA from 1 species